GCAAAUCGACUGCCUGCCUGUGUAACAGGCAGGUAAGCUUUUGUCGCGGGGUCCCGGAUCAACCCGGGCUAGAUAGCCACUUAACUAUAUACUUUUUAUAAAAUCUGUGAACUUACUAGGUUGGAUUCUCGCCAGAGAUAGUCUGGUUUCUGCUUCGCGGAUCGCCUACCCGUGACACCUGUCACAGGCAGGUAUGCUUCUGCCGCGGGUCCGUAAGUAAAUCAUCUGUUUCGCAAGGGACGGCGAUUUACCUGUGGAAGAGGUCCGCUAACUAUAUUCUUAGUAUAGUUUGUUCACUAGAUCAAACAUUCUGAAUAAAAACUUAAACUAGUUAAAACUUUCAACAACGGAUCUCUUGGUUCUGGCAUCGAUGAAGAACGCAGCGAAAUGCGAUAAGUAAUGUGAAUUGCAGAAUUCAGUGAAUCAUCGAAUCUUUGAACGCACAUUGCGCCCAUUAGUAUUCUAGUGGGCAUGCCUGUUCGAGUGUCAUUUCAACCCUUAAGCCCCUGUUGCUUAGCGUUGGGAGCCUACAGCCUGCUGUAGCUCCUUAAAGGUAGUGGCGGAGUCGGUUCACACUCUAGACGUAGUAAAAUCUUUAUCUCGCCUAUGGAUGAGCCGGCGCCUUGCCGUAAAACCCCUAAUCUUUCACAAGGUUGACCUCGGAUCAGGUAGGAAUACCCGCUGAACUUAAGCAUAUCAAUAAGCGGAGGAAAAGAAACCAACAGGGAUUGCCCUAGUAACGGCGAGUGAAGCGGCAACAGCUCAAAUUUGAAAUCUGGCCUUCGGGUCCGAGUUGUAAUUUGCAGAGGAUGCUUUGGGCGCGGUGCCUUCCGAGUUCCCUGGAACGGGACGCCUUAGAGGGUGAGAGCCCCGUACGGUUGGACACCAAGACUCUGUAAAGCUCCUUCGACGAGUCGAGUAGUUUGGGAAUGCUGCUCUAAAUGGGAGGUAAAUUUCUUCUAAAGCUAAAUAUUGGCCAGAGACCGAUAGCGCACAAGUAGAGUGAUCGAAAGAUGAAAAGCACUUUGAAAAGAGGGUUAAAUAGCACGUGAAAUUGUUGAAAGGGAAGCGUUUACGACCAGACCUUUUCGCAGCGGAUCAUCCGGUGUUCUCACCGGUGCACUUCGCUGGGUUGAGGCCAGCAUCGGUUUCCGCAGGGGGAUAAAAGCCUGGGGAACGUA
rnacentral:rRNA from 1 species